rnacentral:rRNA from 1 species
UGAGCAAUCUGCCCUUCUCUUCGGAAUAAGCGUGGGAAACCGCGUCUAAUGCCGAAUACGACCUCCUUUCGCAUGAUCGGAGGUGGAAAGCUCCGGCGGAGAAGGAUGAGCUCGCGGCCUAUCAGCUAGUUGGUGUGGGUAAUGGCCCACCAAGGCGACGACGGGUAGCCGGCCUGAGAGGGUGACCGGCCACACUGGGACUGAGACACGGCCCAGACCUCCGUACGGGA